rnacentral:tRNA from 1 species
GAGAUAUUAGUAAAAUUAUUACAUAACUUUGUCAAAGUUAAAUUAUAGGUUAAAUCUAUAUAUCUCU